rnacentral:rRNA from 1 species
AUUGAACGCUGGCGGCAUGCCUUACACAUGCAAGUCGAACGGCAGCACGGGAGCAAUCCUGGUGGCGAGUGGCGAACGGGUGAGUAAAGUAUCGGAACGUGCCCAGUCGUGGGGGAUAACGUAGCGAAAGUUACGCUAAUACCGCAUACGAUCUAUGGAUGAAAGCGGGGGAUCGCAAGACCUCGCGCGAUUGGAGCGGCCGAUAUCAGAUUAGGUAGUUGGUGGGGUAAAGGCUCACCAAGCCGACGAUCUGUAGCUGGUCUGAGAGGACGACCAGCCACACUGGGACUGAGGCACGGCCCAGACUCCUACGGGAGGCAGCAGUGGGGAAUUUUGGACGAUGGGCGAAAGCCUGAUCCAGCCAUGCCGCGUGCAGGAUGAAGGCCUUCGGGUUGUAAACUGCUUUUGUACGGAACGAAAAGGUUUGGCCUAAUAAGCUGAGCUCAUGACGGUACCGUAAGAAUAAGCACCGGCUAACUACGUGCCAGCCGCCGCAGUAA